AGCAGCCGCGGUAAUUCCAGCUCCAAUAGCGUAUAUUAAAGUUGUUGCAGUUAAAAAGCUCGUAGUUGAAUUUCGGGAUCAAUACGUCGGUCGUGCCUUCGGUACGUACUGGCGUCAUUGGUUUCUCCCUUCUGACGAACCAUGAUGUCAUUAAUUUGGUGUUAUGGGAAGUUAGGACUGUUACUUUGAAAAAUUAGAGUGUUUAAAGCAGGCAUUAGCUUGAAUACAUUAGCAUGGAAUAAUGAAAUAGGACGUUCGAACCUAUUUUGUUGGUUUCUAGGAUCAACGUAAUGAUUAAUAGGGAUAGUUGGGGGCAUUAGUAUUCAAUUGUCAGAGGUGAAAUUCUUGGAUUUAUUGAAGACUAACUACUGCGAAAGCAUUUGCCAAGGAUGUUUUCAUUAAUCAAGAACGAAAGUUAGGGGAUCGAAGACGAUCAGAUACCGUCGUAGUCUUAACCAUAAACUAUGCCGACUAGGGAUCGGAUGAUGUAAUUUUUAAU
rnacentral:rRNA from 1 species